rnacentral:rRNA from 1 species
UCAGGCAAAACGAGUCACGGCACACAGCUCAGUAACACGUGGCUAAUCUGCCCUUGGGACUAGAACAACCCCGGGAAACUGGGGCUAAAUCUAGAUAGGUGAAGAACUCUGGAAUGAGUCUUUGCCUAAAUAGGUUCACGUUAUCCUCGUGAACUUGCCCAAGGAUGAGGCCGCGACCGAUCAGGUUGUUGGCGAGGUAAUGGCUCACCAAGCCUUUUACCGGUGCGGGCCGUGGGAGCGGGAGCCCGGAGAUGGGUACUGGGACAAGGACCCAGGCCCUACGGGGCGCAGCAGUCGCGAAACCUUUGCAAUACACGAAAGUGUGACAGGGCUAUCCCGAGUGCCAUCCGCUGAGGAAGGCUUUUACCCAGUCUAGAACGCUGGGGGAAUAAGGAGAGGGCAAGUCUGGUGUCAGCCGCCGCGGUAAUACCAGCUCUCCGAGUGGUGUGGAUGUUUAUUGGGCCUAAAGCAUCCGUAGCUGGCUAGGUAAGUCCUUUGUUAAAUCCACCGAAUUAAUCGUUGGAUCGCGGGGGAUACUGCUUGGCUAGGGGACGAGAGAGGCAGACGGUAUUUUUGGGGUAGGGGGUGAAAUCCUAUAGUCCCAGGAAGACCACCAGUGGCGAAGGCUGUCUGCUAGAACGCGCCCGACGGUGAGGGAUGAAAGCUGGGGGAGCGAACCGGAUUAGAUACCCGGGUAGUCCCAGCUGUAAACGAUGCAGGCUAGGUGUUUGGACGGCCACGUGCCGUUCUAGUGCCGCAGGGAAGCUGUUAAGCCUGCCGCCUGGGGAGUACGAUCGCAAGAUUGAAACUUAA